GAUGAACGCUGGCGGCGUGCCUAAUACAUGCAAGUCGAGCGAACGGACGAGAAGCUUGCUUCUCUGAUGUUAGCGGCGGACGGGUGAGUAACACGUGGAUAACCUACCUAUAAGACUGGGAUAACUUCGGGAAACCGGAGCUAAUACCGGAUAAUAUUUUGAACCGCAUGGUUCAAAAGUGAAAGACGGUCUUGCUGUCACUUAUAGAUGGAUCCGCGCUGCAUUAGCUAGUUGGUAAGGUAACGGCUUACCAAGGCAACGAUGCAUAGCCGACCUGAGAGGGUGAUCGGCCACACUGGAACUGAGACACGGUCCAGACUCCUACGGGAGGCAGCAGUAGGGAAUCUUCCGCAAUGGGCGAAAGCCUGACGGAGCAACGCCGCGUGAGUGAUGAAGGUCUUCGGAUCGUAAAACUCUGUUAUUAGGGAAGAACAUAUAUGUAAGUAACUGUGCACAUCUUGACGGUACCUAAUCAGAAAGCCACGGCUAACUACGUGCCAGCAGCCGCGGUAAUACGUAGGUGGCAAGCGUUAUCCGGAAUUAUUGGGCGUAAAGCGCGCGCAGGCGGUUUUUUAAGUCUGAUGUGAAAGCCCACGGCUCAACCGUGGAGGGUCAUUGGAAACUGGAAAACUUGAGUGCAGAAGAGGAAAGUGGAAUUCCAUGUGUAGCGGUGAAAUGCGCAGAGAUAUGGAGGAACACCAGUGGCGAAGGCGACUUUCUGGUCUGUAACUGACGCCGAUGUGCGAAAGCGUGGGGAUCAAACAGGAUUAGAUACCCUGGUAGUCCACGCCGUAAACGAUGAGUGCUAAGUGUUAGGGGGUUUCCGCCCCUUAGUGCUGCAGCUAACGCAUUAAGCACUCCGCCUGGGGAGUACGACCGCAAGGUUGAAACUCAAAGGAAUUGACGGGGACCCGCACAAGCGGUGGAGCAUGUGGUUUAAUUCGAAGCAACGCGAAGAACCUUACCAAAUCUUGACAUCCUUUGACAACUCUAGAGAUAGAGCUUUCCCCUUCGGGGGACAAAGUGACAGGUGGUGCAUGGUUGUCGUCAGCUCGUGUCGUGAGAUGUUGGGUUAAGUCCCGCAACGAGCGCAACCCUUAAGCUUAGUUGCCAUCAUUAAGUUGGGCACUCUAAGUUGACUGCCGGUGACAAACCGGAGGAAGGUGGGGAUGACGUCAAAUCAUCAUGCCCCUUAUGAUUUGGGCUACACACGUGCUACAAUGGACAAUACAAAGGGCAGCGAAACCGCGAGGUCAAGCAAAUCCCAUAAAGUUGUUCUCAGUUCGGAUUGUAGUCUGCAACUCGACUACAUGAAGCUGGAAUCGCUAGUAAUCGUAGAUCAGCAUGCUACGGUGAAUACGUUCCCGGGUCU
rnacentral:rRNA from 1 species